rnacentral:misc_RNA from 1 species
UUUUGUCAUUUUGUGGUUUUGUGCAAGUGACAAGUGAAAUCAGUGAAUUCAUUUGAUAAAUAUUCGAUUAUUUUCUCAAAAAUGUCGUUUUUCGGGGUGGGAAAUCCUUUUUCUACGCCAGUAGGCCAAAAAAUUGAGCAAGCUACCGAUGGAUCUUUGCCGUCAGAGAACUGGGCGCUGAAUAUGGAGAUAUGCGAUAUUAUAAAUACCAGUACAGAUGCUUCUAAGGAUGCCAUAAAAGCUAUAAGGAAGCGGCUGACGCAGAGCGCUGGGAAGAACUACACCAUAGUGAUGUACACUCUGACUGUCCUGGAGACUUGUGUCAAGAAUUGUGGAAAGAUGUUCCACAUGCUCGUGUGCAGCAAGGAGUUCAUAGGUGAACUGGUGAAGCUAAUUGGGCCAAAGAAUGAUCCUCCAACGGUGGUGCAAGAAAAGGUGCUCAGUUUGAUUCAAUGCUGGGCCGACGCCUUCCAAAACCAGCCAGAAUUGCAGGGCGUAGUACAGGUGUACAAUGAACUGCGGUCGAAGGGGGUGGAGUUCCCUAUGACAGAUCUGGAUGCUAUGGCGCCUAUCUUUACACCACAAAGAAGCGUGCCUGACGGCGUGGAGACAGUAGCUGGGUCUCCGCCGCGCUCGGUGCCGCCGGCCUCGCCCGCGCGGCCGCCGCUCGACGCCGCUGGGACGGUGUUGCUAUCAGACAGUCAGACCAGCAAGCUCCGCGCAGACCUGUCCGUGGUUGAAGGCAACAUGACCGUGAUGAACGACAUGCUCACCGAGCUCACCUCGCAGCCGCACGCGCAGCAUCACGCCAGCGACAUCGAUCUGUUGAACGAAUUAGCAGACACAUUGAAGGCGAUGCAGAGCCGCGUGGCGGAGCUAGUGGGCCGCGUGUCCGGAGACAGUCCCCUGUGCGCGGAGCUGCUGCAUACCAACGACCGGCUCAACAACCUGCUGCUGAGACACACGCGGUUCAUCAACAACAGAAAUGCGGCGACUGGCGCAACACCCUCCGCCAUUUUGGGCGCUGCUAUGGGAGUCCCCGGCACUGGAUCACCAAAGAAAAAUGAUGACGAUGCUUUGAUUGAUCUCAGCGAUGAUGUACCAGAUAUUGCCAAACUGACCGUGAAGGAGGCCCCGGGCGAGAGCGCGGCGGGCGCGGCGCGGGACGAGUUCGACAUGUUCGCGCAGUCGCGGAACGUCACCUACGAGACCUCCAAAACCGGAGGCAGCAGCUACGCAGACAAUAUGGAAGACCAGUCGGCAGCCAGCCUAGCGACCGUCGCCAGCCAACGCGCUACGCAAGGACAGCCUCUGCCGUCGGGGAUGGACCAAAGGGAAAUCGAUGAGAUAGCCGCUUGGUUAGCCCAAGAGAAGGCCAACACGGAAGCGAACGGCGCCCAAGAGAGUGUGACCAGCAGCGAUUUCGAUAAAUUCCUCGCGGAGCGCGCCGCCGCCGCCGACAGCCUGCCCGACGCCAACAGUGCUGCCAAUAACAGCGCCGCCAACAGUGCUACCAACAGCACCACGCACACGCCACGCCACCGCCAAAUCAAAAAGGAAGACCAGGACUCCAUGUUUGCGCUCUGAUAUGCUUGAACACCAUCACGACGGAACGCUGCUUAAAAAUUUAAGGGGUAUGUUUACUGUUCUGUAUACACUAUUGAAUAUGAAAUUGUUUGAUGUUAAACGGAUAGAUGGUCAUUUAUAGCCGGCCAGAAUACACGUUUUCUGUAAUUGAAAUAUGCAAAUUCAACCGAUUCUAUCAGAGAAUACGACUUACCAAAACAAGAUUAUUCUUUCCGGUUGUUAUCGCGCCCGCUAUAGAAACGGCUGAAAGACUGACAUAAAUAAGGUCUAAACUGUACUACCAUGCGAUAUGGAAUAUCCAUGUUAUUACGUACGAGAGAGAACUUAAAUUUUAAGCAUCGAUCCUUUCAGGGAUACACAAACGCGAGUUUUAUCAUACUGCAAGACUAAAGUUAGAUUGUUGUUUUUGCAUCGAAAUACGGAUUUGUUCUGGAUCUGUUCACACGUCACAGUGAUUAUCUUACGGUACUGUAUGUUCACUAGUAUUCAAUAUACCGUUUGGUGCCUGGCUUAUAGUUGUUAUUGAAAUAUUUUAAGCUGACUAAUCAAUAGUAUCACCUAUUAAUCUGUAAGCGUCAAUAUCUCAAACUUCAAAUCCAUUUUAUGUUAACUUAUUCUGUAUAAAUGUAGUGUUAAAGGUGUUGACAUAUUUCGACUUAAAAUACUUCAAUGUAAGGUCCGUGUAUCAGCUUUAUACAAACUUCACUUGGCCACAUUGAACAUGUAACAUUCUCUAGGGUAAGGUUACACUACACUCACUGCUAAGUACGGGUGGAUCGGCGGAUAUAGUGCGUUUUAGUCGCAUUUUAUCUUAUGCCCCAAAUGUGAUUUAAAUCGCGUAAUAUACUGCACUUUAAGUAGCCACAAAAUUACUUUAUAGAUUUAGAAACGAAAUAGAUUUCACGAAGGUAUGGUUUGGUUGGUUUUAGUAUGUAAAAUUAGCAGGAUAAGUAACUUUCCAGUGGCGGCUCUAGGACGGUGCGAGGUGUGCCACCGCAAAUCAACCAAGACUGGUUCACCCUGACCGCAAACUAAAACUUCAUCGGGUUAGAUUGCGGCCACAUAAAACUCAUACCGGGUGGCCGUGAACAACAUUUUUAAAAGAUUUAAA